CUUCCCGAGUGGUUGCGGAUGCUCCCCCGGAUUGACGCUGAGCAAGUUAUGAAGGGAGGAAUAGGGUCAGAGGCCACGGUUGAGGUCAAAUGAGGGACCGCGGCCCCUAGCCAGAGAGGAGUAGGAAGUGGAUCCCGACCCCGCGCGCGGUUUCCCUUGGGAGUAAGCCGGAAGGCGAUGCUGGAGCCAAGCUGGUCUCGAAUUCGGGGUGACGCCUCUGCUUCAGCCUCGCGAAUUGCUUCCCCACCCCUAGGUACCAGGUUUGGAGCCCUGAGACGCUCUUUCACGGAGCAACACUCCUACCCUUUCUUUUAUACUGAGAAUAAAUUGCCCAAUCGGGCCUUGAACUCAAGUCUUCUGCCUCAAUUAUAUGAGAUUGCAGACUUAAUCCAGUCUUUAGACUUUGUUGUUUUGUUCUGUUUUGAGACACUGUCUCACUAUGUCGUGUACGCCGACCUGGAGCUUGCUGCAUAGCCUAGACUGGUUUUGAAUUUGUUGUCCUCUUCAGCCUCCAGAGUGCUGGGAUUACUCUGGCAUGUACCGCAUGUUGAGCUCAUGCUAAAACACUUCAUACAGGGCUGGGGAUUUAGCUCAGCGGCAUAAGCGCCUGCCGUGCAAGAAGGCAGUUGUGAGUUACUGAGUUCGAUCCCCGGUACCGAUAAAAAUGAAAAAGACAAAAAAAAAAAAAAAAAAACAAACAAAGAAA